GAUGAACGCUAGCGGCAGGCCUAAUACAUGCAAGUCGAACGGAUAUAUGUUUUUCGGAAUAUAUAUUAGUGGCGCACGGGUGAGUAACACGUACAUAACUUGCCCUCAAGCGGGGGAUAGCCUUGGGAAACUGAGAGUAAUACCCCAUAGAAUUAUUGGACGGCAUCGUUUGAUAAUUAAAACUACGGUGCUUGGGGAUAGAUGUGCGUCUGAUUAGCUAGUUGGUGAGGUAACUGCUCACCAAGGCGACGAUCAGUAGGGGGCGUGAGAGCGUGGCCCCCCCACACGGGUACUGAGACACGGACCCGACUCCUACGGGAGGCAGCAGUAAGGAAUAUUGGUCAAUGGAGGGAACUCUGAACCAGCCAUGCCGCGUGAAGGAUGACGGCCCUCUGGGUUGUAAACUUCUUUUGGAUGGGGCGAAAAAACGGGNUUUAUCCUGGACUGACGGUACCAUCAGAAUAAGCACCGGCUAACUCCAUGCCAGCAGCCGCGGUAAA
rnacentral:rRNA from 1 species